CCGUGAAGCUGGAUUCGCUAGUAAUCGCGCAUCAGCCAUGGCGCGGUGAAUACGUUCCCGGGCCUUGUACACACCGCCCGUCAAGCCAUGGAAGCCGGGGGUGCCUGAAGUGUGCAGCCGCAAGGAGCGCCCUAAGGUAAAACCGGUGACUGGGGCUAAGUCGUAACAAGGUAUC
rnacentral:rRNA from 1 species